ensembl:lncRNA
UUUUGAUCGUUGCCAGGUAACAAGGUAACAAUAGGUCACAUGUCAUUGAUGACCAGGUAACGAUCCACUUUUCAUUUUCCAUUUGUUUUGUCUUUGUCUUUCACACCUGGCUUCACUCAACCAAUUACUUGUUUAUUAUUUAACCCCCAUGUUUUGUUUGUGAGUGAUUGUACAUUGGUCCGUUUUUGUGUGCUCGCUAUGUUGCUGUGUAUUUUGAGUAAAGUACGUUGAUGACUCAUAUCUGCCGUCCUGCGCCUGACUCUCUACACCAGCAUCACACGGGACGAUUACAAUUGGUGUAUGAUAUUUCUGGCAUUACGUGAUGUUGUCCCAACCUGAUCUGUUUCACCUGUCUUUGUGAUUGUCUCCACCCCCCUCCAGGUGUUGCCCAUCUUCCCCAUUAUCCCCUGUUUAUUUAUACCUGUGUCAUCUGUUUGUCUGUUGCCAGUUAGUCUUGUUUGUCAAGCUUACCAGCGUUUGUCCCAUCAGCUCCUGGUUUUUCCCAGCAUCUUUUUUUUCUCCUCAUCCUCCUGGUUUUUAGCAAGGCUAUCCAGUUCCUGCUCAUCAAGUCCCCUCUGAUUCCUGUGGUAUUGGAAUUCUCCUGGCUCCAAUUACAUAAUCCCCUCAUUAACUGGUCUACUGGUGCCAUCAUGGGCUGGAGCCCGUUCUGCCACGCCCAUUGCCUGGAGUCAGCACAACCUGCCCCGGGACGUCUUCCUGGGGGCUCGGAAGGUGCCCCGGUCCUCUCCGCCAUUCCCGCGGAGUACCAGGACCCCCGGAGGUGUUCAGCAAGGCCCGGAACACGUCACUUCCGCCACACAACCCUAUAACUGCGUUAUUGACCUUCUCCCUAGCACCACACCGCCCAAGAGGGACGUCUGUACUCUCUGUCGGGACCGGAGACCAAAGCUAUGGAUACCUACAUUGGGGACUCCCUAGUUGCUGGUUUUAUCCGUCCCUCUUCCUCUCCCGCCCGUGCAGGCUGCUUCUUCGUGGAGAAAAAGGACAAGACCCUGCGCCCGUGCAUUGACUACCUGGG